CUGCAUGUAAUCUCUCUGCUUCUUCGUGUCAUACAUUCUAAAAGCACCUCCAUCGAUGGUGCAUUUGAUGGUAACGCGCCUGAAUUCCAAACAGACCAAUCAGCGCACUCCAUCUGACCAUCUCGACCGUUAACGGCGGUAUGGAUUUCCAAAGAGUUUCCUGCAGUUGCCUCGGUAAGUAUAUUUAUAAAACUCUGGCUAAACUGGAAUUAUUCGUUUAAUCAAGAGGGCCACAUUGGAGGAAGCUGACGUUAAGUCAACACCCCGACAGUCUUACGACUAGCUAAACUGUUAUAACAGCAUAGGAAAGGACUGUAUCAUGUAGGCUUAAGGAAAAUGCUGCUCGCGUUUUAUCGCCGAGCAUCGCGCUAAAGCUGGCAUGUUGAAGCCUCUGACUAGCUAACUAUACUGCACGACGUGUUGAUUGAUUUGUACAUUGAAAUAUAUUCUUAUAACAUAUAACAUGUGGAGAAAACGUCCAAUCUGUAAAAGCAUAUACUUUGCAUUGCAAACUCCACUACAAUGAACCCCUGACGUUUUACUGUGUAGCAACAAGUUGUAAGCAGGUGCUUUCGGGAUAUGCAGCAUUAAAAUCGCAUUUCUAUCGCCACCAUAACAGUACAUCGACAGUUUAUCAGGACGUGACUUUAACGCCAUUAAAAUGCACCGUCUCACAUUGUGAACGCCAGUGAGUACCAUUGAAUUUCUAGUUAUGCUGAUAUUGAGGCUGUUGUCAUUUAAUUUAAUUUUGUUUAUUUAUUUAUUUUCUCCUGCAUUGGUGCUGAGACAUUUAUAUUGAGCUUUGACUGAGAGGUCGUCAACAACCACAUCACUUUCUUCACAUCUGCCUGAUGUUUGGCAGUUACUACUGCUUCAACAUACACUAUCUGGUGUUUCUUUUCAAUAAAUCCUGGAAGAAGAGUAAAAAAGUGUUAUUGGUCAAUCCCAGAGUCUUGACACUGAUCUCAGACCUUGCCAACCAUGAGUGGACCUACCAGUGAUGUUGAGGGAUGAUGUGAUAAAAGGAGUUUCUUCUCAUCUACAGAGGCACCAAAGUUGAGCGUAAAAAGAAAAUAAUCGCUGGCUUUUUCAAACUGUUACAGUUUGUAAGUAGUGUUUUUACGUUUUUACUGCAGUUUAUUG